AGAUGCUACUGUAGGUAGUAAUGGUGCUGAAUUUGUCAGUAUCGCAGUUUUCUGUUGUCCAAAAAAAAAGGAAUUAUUUGGUGUGGGUGUGUUUGUGUGCAGAAAUGAUAUAGCUGGACAAACAACAUGUACAGAAUCUUGAGGGAGGCAAGAUCAAAAGCCUAUGUCAUAUAUUUCCUUGGCAGGUUCAUGGCCUCUGUAGAACUGCAACAGCUCCCUCUGUUCUGAAAACAGUAUGGGGGAAGGAUGACAUAUGCUGGAAAAAUGUGCCGGUGUAAACAAUAAAAGGGACUCAAGUUCUUUAAACAUUACAAGGAAGCAGAAUGACCAACAUCUUCAAAUCAGAACCAC